AAAAAAAAAAAAAAAAAAAAAGGGCCUUAAAUAAGUAUCCUCAUCGGAUGUCACGUAAAGGAUACGCUGGAUUGGAGGAAGAACUGUCUGGAUGUAUGAGUGACUCUGAACUUGAUCGUGCAACGAUGUGGAUUAAGGCACGUCAGGACAAGAAUGGUGGGUUUAAAGAUCCUUUGGUAGAGGAGAAGGCCAAAAAAAUUGCUGCUUUGAAGAAAAAGGAGGUUGAGGGAGAGUUAAGCACUUCGGGUGCAGAUGAUGU